AAGAAAAAUAUAGACAUCUCUGUCGAUUUUUUCGUUAAUUUUGAUCUUUUUCGUUAAAAACACCGGUUAAAUUUUAAUAUUUAACGAAACAUUGACGAAGCAAGGAAAGCGUUACCCGGCAGGCAAUUGACGUUUCAUACUAGGGCGAGGGGCGUUGAAACGCAUGGAAGAGCAUGAAGAAACACGGACGAGCGGUGCUGAACUGCAACUGUGUGCGUGCAACAGCACCAAACGGCAUGUGACGACGUACAGUGUGUGGAUGUGUGUGUGUAAUUUUAAGCAGCGAAGAUGGAUCGAGGUUAUGUUUACAAAGUGAAAGAGUUUGAUGCAGAAGCGUCUUUGUGAUAAAAUGUAUUUUAGUUGCAUAUUUUCAGUGUUAAAGUUUGUAAUGUGAACUUAAAAGUAAUGAACAAUGGUGCUGUUCUCUUGUGUGCUGUUGGCGAAUAUUGAAGCGUUGAAAUAUUGAAGCUUCAUAUGUUAGUUUGUUGUGCUUAGUGUGAAGCAAAAAUGUGUGCUAAAGUGUUAUAAAUUAGAAAUAUUUAUACGUAUCCGUCUAAUGUUCGGUUGUACCCAUCUAAUUUUCCAUAUUUUUUGGUGUCCUUAUCGUUUACCAGGAGAAAAAGAUUGGAGGUUAGUUACGUGCAGCUAUUUCGCCUCCGCAGGAAGUUUUCUUCAGGAGUGUUCCAAGCUGUCCGAAGACACACAAAUCCAAUUCACCUCGUAUGCACCCAGCGGAUUUCAUGCGAAGGAUAUUGGAAAGCCAUCAAAGAAGUGGGCAUGAUGGUAAGGGAACUUUAAUUAUUUUUACUUUUAGAUUUCUUAUCCUUAUUUUUGUUUACAACAACCUUGGAUCGUCGGCGCGGGCCUUAUGGGAACUGCGCGGUCAGAGCAACAACCGGAUGAGCAUUUCGUUCCAGGUGGAAAUUAUAUCAAGUUUGGGAAUUGAAGAGAGUUACGGCACACUGUGAACAUCGUUGCAAACAAUCGAUGGUAACAUUUAUAUAUAGCUUAUGAAUGCAUGUGUUUAUCUAACUAUUCACUAAAUCGUUUAUUUAUUAAUUUGAGCAUUAGCGCUCCAUCGACGUAUGUUAUUUGUUGUUCUUUUAAGUAAAUUGCUCCAAUGGAACAGCUUCUCUCGGCCUUUCUCGGGUUUAGUUGCUGUUGCUUGACCGCGACGAGUGACACCAGAGUUUGCUAUGGUCGUAUUGUCGUCGUGUAAUCGUGUUAUUGCUGUUAACGCACUUUGUUUAUAUCUAUUAAGAUGCAACAGCAUUAUUUAUUUUCCGGAAUAUCGUUAGCGUUGUUCCUCCUCGGUCAAACGGUUCACAGUGGGCAAUAAAGAACAAUAAAUGAUAGGAGCAAAAACGCGAUGGCUGUUAGUGAUUUGCAAAAUGAUACCAACAGCCAUUUUACAUUUUUUAUCUUAAACAAGCAUUGCCCCUGAAAGCUACUAAAGCAAAUGUGUAUUACUUACUAUGAGCUGUGUGAUAGGUACAAUAAAAGGUACAAUUUUUCAUUUAAUUUGUAAAAUUAGAAAAGAAUAGAUCAAAGGUGAUUGAUAAAUAUAGUAUCAAUAUUACAUUGCGAUUAAUAAAAAUGGAAAAGCAAUGUGUUUAUCAAUAAAUAAUAUGUAAUGUAUGUAAUAUGUAUAAGCAGCAACUAUAAAUAGGUAGAGCAAUUUAACCAAAUAAAUAUAUGUUUAUUUCUUCCUUCUAUGGCAGCUUGUUUUAACAUUUCCCUGCAUGUUUACUCUUGCCGGUGCAUGUGUCAGUUUUCUUUUUAAAUAUUCUUUAUCAUAUCUACGUCUAUUCCCACGUGGUUUGUGGCGAUAGACUUAAAUAAGCACUGUAUUUGGAUAGUUACUAAAAGCUAUUUUUGUCCUGACGAUCCUCCCCAGCUACACCGUGCAAGAAAAGUCCUAUCAAACAUCACGUUUAAAGCCUUAUGCAUCCUGUUGUUGGCAUCCUGGCUGCUGAUAUCUGCAUCUAUUAUUUAAGUAUAACUGCAAAAUGCAAAAUCAUCUCCAGCUAUUUUUGCUAAAAAUGUAUCAAACUGUUGUUCAUUUCCGAUUUUUUAAAGUGCUAAACUCUCCGCAUUUCUUCUUAUACCCUUCAUAGGAUUCAGUAUUGUGGGCUGCUCAUUUAAAAUCACCACUAUCUGUGCGCUGCGUGCAUCUAUUUUCAUUAACAGCAUCCGACAACGAAGGCAGCAGCUUCCAGAAUACUCUGUAGAAGUAAUUGAAUGGACUGCUUGAUUUGCUCCUGCUGCAGCCUGGUGUUCAUCUUCGGUGAUCAUCAUUAUUGGCGACGAAGGCAGCACAGGCAAAUUUAUUACAACAGGACCAUUUGCUCGUUCAUUUCACCGGCGCUUGUCGAUGGCACUUGGCUACCACCGUCAACUAUCUUGCCUGGCGGACAGAUGUGGCUAGGAACACAGCAGCCGCUAUCACCGAUGCAGAAGCACUGGUGGGUAAAUGUUGUCUUACAAUAGCGGUCAUCAUACCACGCUGAUUCUUCGGAGUAUGAACUUCGACAAGCGAUGCAAUCGAUGGUACUGCAGAUCCCGCCAAUGCCUGUUGUCUACCGAUCUUCAUGCCUGAUUCCUGCGGUAGAGCAUCAGCAACCGGUACCACUGAUGGCGCAGCAGUACUAGUUGACGGUUGCUGUCCAUGUUGCUGGCCUAACGGACGGAAUGGUGCAGGAACACCAGGUAAUGUUGACCGAUGAUGAUUAUUAUCACCGGCAUUCGAGACCAGCGCUGACACUUCAUCCGUUACCUUCAGCUGUUCAACAACACGGACUGGCAUUCUUUGUUGACUCGCGCUAACCGGCCACUGAAACCACCGAAGGCACUGCACUUGUUGUCGGAAGUUGUCCAACAACACGCACCGGCAAUCGGGGACGACGGAUGGUACGAGGAAUGGCAACCGAAACCAUCGAUGGCACUGCACUUGUCGUCGGAAGUUGUCCAACAACACGGACUGGUACAUCUGACUGACGAAGCUACUUAUCACACACCCGCAUUUUAUGUCCCCAUUCUUGGUGUUUCCUGGUUACUCGCCAUCGCGCUGUAGUCGGAUCAUACUGCACCUGUCCUGCUUCGAUUAAUGCUCCGAUUAAGACAAAAUUAGAGCACGCGUUCCUAUUCCUCAUCCUCCGGCACCGUCUGGAGAAUGUGGGAGUCACUGCUCUAUAAAAACCACCGGACUACCACAAACUGGAAACAGCGGAAAACCCCGUGGGUCACCGGCCACCGUGCUAAAUUGAAGCAAAGUUGAACUAAUAUGCCGUGCGAAAAAGCAAAAUAAAUAUUUCAUUUUAAUGUUUAUUAAGCUACACUGACAUUAUAUUUUUCAUCUAAAACGUUUUUGAUGUGUUUUUUCUCAUCGCGUUUAGGCGUCGUGUAUCAGAUCGCAACUGCUAAUAUUUUCGUCGUCUGAGACGGACUGUUAUGGAGGUACAAAAUCUUCAGUGAUGCGUUCACGCAUCUACGAGCCGGUAAUUUGCGGUAUCCAGAUCAUCGUCGUACUGUUGACUUACCUAAGCUACCGAAAUUAGCGACAGUGUAAAAUCUGUGCUGUGAGAAUUACAGUUGGCUCUAACAAAUGUCGCCUUUAUUCCUUUGUACAUACAAGAAACGAUCGCGAACGAUCAGCAUGAAAUGCACUUGACUGAUAUUAUUCUUUUUCUUUAGUUUCAGAUAAGCCGUUCUCAUCAAUGCCAUAUCAUGUACGGUCGGUUAGUUACACUUCAUAACGAAGGAUAAUCACAUCUGGUUAACGGAAUGCUGCCAAAACGAUGAAGCUGGCUUAGCCCUCGAUGACGACGCAACUCCUGCACGUUCGUCGUCAUACUAUCAUUUCAACUGGAGGCAUGUUUGUUUUAGGCGGCUACAACAUGUUGUUUGAACAUGUUGAAUAGAACAAACAUGUUGAUAAUGGUGAAUGCUGGAACUCCGUGAUAACCGUUUUCGUGCGCUGAAUAAGGUUUGUAUGAAAAAUAGUGUAUUUUUAGAAUAUUUUAUUUUUCAAUAAAGUAACGGUAAAUUUGAAAUACACUGUGUUGAUAAACAACCCGAAUGAAAGAAAUACACGGAUAAACGAAUGUAAACAAUACACGAAAGAACGGGAGGUCCGUUUCAUCCGUACCCCCCCACGCCCAAUCAUGUCUUCCGUUGGGCGCCUGAGCCAUGCACGGUUGGGCGCCCGUUUCUCCUCCUCCGGCGCCGUCAGUUUAGCUGUCAAUUGCCUGCCG